rnacentral:rRNA from 1 species
AGUGAACGCUGGCGGUAGGCCUAACACAUGCAAGUCGAACGGCAGCACAGGAGAGCUUGCUCUCUGGGUGGCGAGUGGCGGACGGGUGAGGAAUACAUCGGAAUCUACUCUGUCGUGGGGGAUAACGUAGGGAAACUUACGCUAAUACCGCAUACGACCUACGGGUGAAAGCAGGGGAUCUUCGGACCUUGCGCGAUUGAAUGAGCCGAUGACGGAUUAGCUAGUUGGCGGGGAAAAGGCCCACCAAGGCGACGAUCCGUAGCUGGUCUGAGAGGAUGAUCAGCCACACUGGAACUGAGACACGGUCCAGACGCCUACGGGAGGCAGCAGUGGGGAAUAUUGGACAAUGGGCGCAAGCCUGCUCCAGCCAUACCGCGUGGGUGAAGAAGGCCUUCGGGUUGUAAAGCCCUUUUGUUGGGAAAGAAAUCCAGCUGGCUAAUACCCGGUUGGGAUGACGGUACCCAAAGAAUAAGCACCGGCUAACUUCGUGCCAGCAGCCGCAGUAA